rnacentral:rRNA from 1 species
UGAGUACGAGAUGCUACGGCAUCGAAGCAGUCUAUGUCAUACUUCCAAGAAAAGCUUGCACUGUCAUAAACAAAGAAUGCCUGUACCAUAACCGACACAGGUGGGUAGGUAGAGUAUACUAAGGGGCGCGAGAUAACUCUCUCUAAGGAACUCGGCAAAAUGACUCCGUAACUUCGGGAGAAGGAGUGCCUUAUUUCUAAGGUUGCAAUAACAAGAUCCAAGCAACUGUUUACCAAAAACACAGGUCUCCGCUAAGUCGUAAGACGAUGUAUGGGGGCUGACGCCUGCCCAGUGCCAGAAGGUUAAAGAAGUUGGUUAGCAUUAGCGAAGCUGAUAACUGAAGCCCUGGUGAACGGCGGCCGUAACAAUAACGGUCCUAAGGUAGCGAAAUUCCUUGUCGGGUAAGUUCCGACCCGCACGAAAGGCGUACUGAUUUGGAUACUGUCUCGGAGAGGGGCUCGGUGAAAUAGACUUGUCUGUGAAGAUGCGGACUACCUGCACCUGGACAGAAAGACCCUAUGAAGCUUUACUGUAACUUGAGAUUGAAAUUGGACUUUAUUUGCGCAGUAUAGGUGGGAGGCGUUGAGAAUAAUCUUGCGGGAUUGUUGGAGCCAUCAGUGAGAUACCACUCUUGUAAUGUUAGAUUUCUAACUUUGUAUCAUUAUCUGGUCAAAGAACAGUUUCAGGCGGGCAGUUUGACUGGGGCGGUCGCCUCCCAAAGGGUAACGGAGGCGCACAAAGGUUUCCUCUGAACGGGUAGAAAUCGUAUCUAGAGUGUAAAGGCAUAAGGAAGCUUGACUGUGAGACCUACAAGUCGAGCAGGGACGAAAGUCGGUCUUAGUGAUCUGACGGUGCUGAGUGGAAAGGCCGUCACUCAACGGAUAAAAGUUACUCUUAGGAUAACAGGCUGAUCUCCCCCAAGAGUUCACAUCGACGGGGAGGUUUGGCACCUCGAUGUCGGCUCAUCGCAUCCUGGGGCGGUAGUCCGUCCCAAGGGUUGGGCUGUUCGCCCAUGAAAGCGGUACGCGAGCUGGGUUCAGAACGUCGUGAGACAGUUCGGUCCAUAUCCGGUGUAGGCGUUAGAAUAUUGAGAGGAGCCUUCUCUAGUACGAGAGGACCGAGAAGGACAUACCUCUGGUGUACCAGUUAUCGUGCCAACGGUAAACGCUGGGUAGCUAUGUAUGGAGUGGAUAACCGCUGAAAGCAUCUAAGUGGGAAGCCCACCUCAAGAUAAG